AUUGAACGCUGGCGGCAUGCCUAACACAUGCAAGUCGAACGGCAGCGCGGGACUAACCCUUGCAGCGAGUGGCGGACGGGUGAGUAAUGCAUAGGAACGUGCCCGGUCGUGGGGGAUAACGCAGCGAAACGUGUGCUAAUACCGCAUACGAUCUGCGGAUGAAAGCGGGGGAUCUCCGGACCUUACGCUAUUGGAUGAGCCGAGGGCGGAUUAGCUAGUUGGUGGGGUAAAGGCUUACCAAGCCGACGAUCCGUAACUGGUCUGAGAGGAUGACCAGCCACACUGGAACUGAGACACGGUCCAGACUCCUACGGGAGGCAGCAGUGGGGAAUUUUGGACAAUGGGCGAAAGCCUGAUCCAGCCAUGCCGCGUGUAGGAAGAAGGUCUUCGGGUUGUAAAGUGCUUUUGUAUGGGAGGAAACGGUGUAUUUUAAUAAAGAAGGGUUAUGACGGUACCGUAAGAAUAAGCACCGGCUAACUACGUG
rnacentral:rRNA from 1 species